UGCAGUCGAGCGAAUGGAUUAAGAGCUUGCUCUUAUGAAGUUAGCGGCGGACGGGUGAGUAACACGUGGGUAACCUGCCCAUAAGACUGGGAUAACUCCGGGAAACCGGGGCUAAUACCGGAUAACAUUUUGAACUGCAUGGUUCGAAAUUGAAAGGCGGCUUCGGCUGUCACUUAUGGAUGGACCCGCGUCGCAUUAGCUAGUUGGUGAGGUAACGGCUCACCAAGGCAACGAUGCGUAGCCGACCUGAGAGGGUGAUCGGCCACACUGGGACUGAGACACGGCCCAGACUCCUACGGGAGGCAGCAGUAGGGAAUCUUCCGCAAUGGACGAAAGUCUGACGGAGCAACGCCGCGUGAGUGAUGAAGGCUUUCGGGUCGUAAAACUCUGUUGUUAGGGAAGAACAAGUGCUAGUUGAAUAAGCUGGCACCUUGACGGUACCUAACCAGAAAGCCACGGCUAACUACGUGCCAGCAGCCGCGGUAAUACGUAGGUGGCAAGCGUUAUCCGGAAUUAUUGGGCGUAAAGCGCGCGCAGGUGGUUUCUUAAGUCUGAUGUGAAAGCCCACGGCUCAACCGUGGAGGGUCAUUGGAAACUGGGAGACUUGAGUGCAGAAGAGGAAAGUGGAAUUCCAUGUGUAGCGGUGAAAUGCGUAGAGAUAUGGAGGAACACCAGUGGCGAAGGCGACUUUCUGGUCUGUAACUGACACUGAGGCGC
rnacentral:rRNA from 1 species